rnacentral:lncRNA from 1 species
CACUCAGAGAGAAAUUCGUGCUUUCCAAACUCCCAGAUUUUCAAGUAAUCGACGAUUACAUAUAUUAUCGUACAGGUUUUUCCGUGUUGGAUUCUGACCAAGCCGAUGAGUCGUGGAAAUUAUUUGUUCCCGAAGCCUUGAGACAGGGCGUAAUUAAAGCUGCGCAUGACCAACCUUCCUCUGCACAUUGUGGGAUUACCAAAUGCCUCGACCAAAUAAGGCAACGAUUUUACUGGCCAAAAAUGGUUAUAGACGUCCGCGAUUAUAUUUCCGCAUGUGAUGUAUGCCAGACCACAAAACAUCCCACACGCUCUCUCAAACCUCCUAUGGGUGCUAGAGUAGUUAGCGAACGUCCCUUUCAACGGUUGUACAUCGAUUUCAUUGGUCCCUUUCCUCGAAGCAGAAAGGGCAACAUAGGAAUAUUUAUCAUCCUGGAUCACUUCUCAAAAUUUACCUUCUUAAAGGCGGUCAAGAAAUUUACUUCCCAGAUAGUGAUUGACAUAUUGAGG